rnacentral:rRNA from 1 species
UUUUAUGGAGAGUUUGAUCCUGGCUCAGGACGAACGCUGGCUGCGUGCUUAACACAUGCAAGUCGAACGCUGAAGCCUGGUGCUUGCACCGGGUGGAUGAGUGGCGAACGGGUGAGUAACACGUGAGUAACCUGCCCCUGACUUCGGGAUAAGCCCGGGAAACUGGGUCUAAUACCGGAUACGACCGUCGGACGCAUGUCUGGUGGUGGAAAGUUUUUUCGGUUGGGGAUGGGCUCGCGGCCUAUCAGUUUGUUGGUGAGGUAAUGGCUCACCAAGACGACGACGGGUAGCCGGCCUGAGAGGGCGACCGGCCACACUGGGACUGAGACA